rnacentral:rRNA from 1 species
GACGAACGCUGGCGGCGUGCCUAAUACAUGCAAGUUGAGCGAUGAAGAUUGGUGCUUGCACCAAUUUGAAGAGCAGCGAACGGGUGAGUAACGCGUGGGGAAUCUGCCUUUGAGCGGGGGACAACAUUUGGAAACGAAUGCUAAUACCGCAUAACACCUUUAAACAUAAGUUUUAAGUUUGAAAGAUGCAAUUGCAUCCCUAAAUGAUGAUCCCGCGUUGUAUUAGCUAGUUGGUGAGGUAAAGGCUCACCAAGGCGAUGAUACAUAGCCGACCUGAGACGGUGAUCGGCCACAUUGGGACUGAGACACGGCCCAAACUCCGUCAGGAGGCAGCAGUAGGGAAUCUUCGGCAAUUGACGAAAGUCUGACCGAGCAACGCCGCGUGAGUGAAGGAGGUUUGCGGAUCGUAAAACUCUGUUGGUAGAGAAGAACGUUGGUGAGAGUUUAAAGCCCAUCAAGUUACGGUAACUACCCAUAAAGGGACGGCUAACUACGUG